rnacentral:snRNA from 1 species
GUGGGGGCUUUGGCAACAUUUACUAGAACUGUAAUGACACAGAGAUUUGCAUGGCUCCCAAGUAAGGGUGAGCGGGAAAUCUGUGAUUUGUUCCAUAUUUUU